ACUCUCAUUGGUGCCCUUUGUUUAGUCACGAGGCGUUAAACGUCGGCGAAAAUCGCCGGCGAAAUUCGUCCCGGUGUGAACAGGCCUUUAAGGAAGACGCCACUUAUCCAGACGAAGCACACAUAGACCUGCUUGGCCGGUGCAAACUCACAUCUAUACAAAGAUGACUUUUUGUCUUCUAUUUUAACAGUUUGAUGAAACAUGAUUUGACAUAUUUUAGCCAAAUCACAGUAAACAGCAUCAUGAAACCAGAGCAGGACAUCAGGGUUCCUAACAAUUUCAUGAAGACAAAGAUGACACACAGCAGAAGAAGUGGUAUAGAAAUAGUUAACAGAUAAAAGCAUAUAUUUUGCAGUGGCUCAGUUCUGACUCAAAUCCUGUUGAGAGUUUGUGGAGGGAGCUAAAAGCCCCCUUCAUUGUGUCAUAGUGCGGAAAAGUGUCUGUGCUGCACUGCGGGAAGACUUUUUUUUUUUUUUUUUUUUUUACAUUUUUUUGUCAGUGUCUUUGAUGUCUUUGAUCACAAGGGCAGAAGCACACGGACACAGAGACUUUUGAUUCUAGUCCUCAGUGUUUAAAAGAUUGAUUUUAUGAAAGGAGCAUCGUUGACUCUAAAAUCCAUACCAGUGAAGGAUAUUAGACUGCCUCCUUAGAUAUUAAAGAAGAAUGAUAGAUUAAGUCAUUACUUGUCCCCAAAAAACCCCCUUGUAAAGACUGUUUAUAUUAAUCUUUUCCUUAUCUUAAAAUAAAUAAAUGAAGUAUCACUCGUCAGUGAUUUUACAAGAAGAUCUGCAACAUUUUCUUUAAUGAAAAGAAGAACUUUGUAAAUGUUCUGUUACUGUGUAACAUUAGAAAAUGUCAACAAAAACCGACUUUGAUGUUUGACUGAAGAGGCCUGUUUAUCAUUGUGUUGCAUCAUGCCUUCAUUCAUCUUUAAUGAGGCGAGGAUGCAGCCUAACUGUUGUAGUUUGGAAGUAGAAAAGUCGAGUGUAGCCGUUUGUCAUGUUCUCUGCGGGGGAGCCAAGACGGCGUGUGCUGCUGUCUUUGAAGCUAGGUUGAAGAAAUGUACAUGCCUUCUUAUCGUUUUUCACUUGCGUACUUGACGUGAACUUCAGGUUCAAGAAAACUGCUUCUGGCAAACACUUUCCCCUUUUCCAGAGUCCCCAAAGAAAGGGCGUCCGAACUUUUGCGGGGGGGUGGUCAGCUUUGGUGACCUGAUUGAGGGCCAUCCAUUCCGUCAGCAUUAUUAAAACUAUUUUAAUCAUAUUAAAUAAAAAUUAAAGAUUUGUUCGUUUCUUCAGAUACAAAACAAAUACAUCUGAAUACAUUUUUACCCAAAUUACUGUACAUUUUUUGCACCAUUUCUUUCCAGUCAUUUUGUUGUAGAAAGCAUGUCUUGGUAAUUGCUCUUGAUAUUGAACUCCUUAAACAGCCACAGUCAUAUGGGGACAUAUGUCACAGGCAUAUGAGGCAGACAGUAGUUUCAUAUUCCACAAAAAAUAAUAAUUUCCACUUGUCCUUGAAAGUGACAGCGUUGCCACAGGUUUACAAUGGCUUAAAACAUGAUUUAGCCAAUCAUAAUCAAGAAAUGGGUCGAAAUAUUAUUGAUUUUAUGACAAGAGCCUGUAGGCCGGUACAAAUUUGAUUGCGGGGCCGCAUUUGGCCCACUGGCCGGACUUUGGACAUGUCUGACCUAAAGAAUACAGAUAGUUUAUCAGACUGUUAAUUUAUUUUUCAUAUUAAAGUAUGUCUUCUAUUUUGUUGUUUUUUUCUAUCAUUUUGCUAACAUAACUAGUUAUCUUAUCCUAACCAAACAAAAUUUGGCGGACAAAAAGGAUGGAUCAGAUAGAAAUCCAAUGGUAGAAUGUAAAUGAAAAUCAAAUUGAUUCAGUAUUCUGGCAUUGACACUUGGCUCUCGUUAUAAAAUGUAGUGGAAUGUAAGAAGGUUUGGGCUCUUACAAUUAUUAUUUAAACUUUUCAGAUGAGUCAAAACAGAUGCUUGGUGUCAUGUAGGAGGGUUUCUGUCUUCCAGCAGUUCAGACGGUUCACUUUCAUAACCGCUGAUUAUUUGCUGUACUGAGAGAUAUUAUUGUUUUGAGGUCCAGCCUUAUCAGAUUGCCAUUCCAAAAAUGUCGGAGAAACGCAGCGGCAGGGUUGUUCAGACUAAACACAGACGAGUUCAGUUAUCACUAGAUAAGAAAAAUAACCCAAAAAUGAUGCAGUGUGUGACUGAAAGGAGCCAUAACUAGCAGUGAAAUCCCUCGUUAGCAUCCUAAUGUAGACUUCAGUGAUUAGAAGACCAGCAGAUCUGGGCGCUAAAGAUGAAACAUCUGAAAGGAACACCUUGGUUUAAGGACAAAGGAUGCAGCUCUGCUGACCUUGUGGAUGAACUGCAGAGGAGCAGAAAGAUGCGCUGCCCCCAAAUUCAAAUCUGAGGCAGCAACUGAUCCUGAAUUCAAGCAUUUCCUUGUGCUUCAUAUUCAUUAGCUGUCUAAUGGGGCUUUGUUGUUUUUGCGUUCCCUCCUGUCUGCACACGGUGCAUGUUUCUGUGUUUGAUCAGCGAGCAGGAGAGCCGGAGGAGAGCGCUUUGGAAUAUAUUCCGUCAUCACAGGGGAACAGAAGCCAGAUAUUGUGCAAAACAAAAGUACAGUUAAAGCAUGCAGCAGCAGCAAGCCCAGAUGUGUUUCGACUGUGUGCUUUGCUGUGGGAGAAAUCAAUAACUGUGGGCUACGAAGUGGUUUUAGCUUGAUCCCGUGACCUUUCCAUCUUAGCAGCAGCUCCUGCGCUGCUGUUUAUUCCUCACUCCAAAAGACACAUUCUGUUUUAAGUAUAUUUGGAUUCACAUAUUUUAUCUGGCUCUUAAAUACACAUUUUAAAGGGUAAUGUAGAUUUCUGGGAAAUCAUUUAAAACUUCCUGAUUAUCUGUACUGUGACCUGAGUAAUCUUUAAAAUGAGAUUGACUGUGUUUCGGGAGUUAUUCAUGAAUUAUAUUGCAUCACAUUUGUUUUCACUCUGGUGUUUUUGGAAAAAAGUUCAGACUGCAAGACAAUCUUACCUGAAAAACUCUUCAAGCUAAAAUACAUCACCAAAAAUAAAAAGAUUCAGAAUGAAGAAACAAAAAAGCUAUUUAGACACUUUUUUUCCAAACACAAAUGCCAAACCCCUCCAGUUUUAUAUUAAAUAUGCCUACAAUAGGAGUAUUUUCUGGAGAAUAUCAGAAUAGUUACAUACAUGUAAUCUUAGUCGCUGUUGUUUAUUUGAAUAACUUUUUGCUUUUUGUUAAAAAAGCAUUUAGGGGAUCCAAGUCCUGCAAGAGUUGAAGUGACUUGCAUCUAAUUUGCCAACAUUUUGAGCAUGUCCAAAAUAUUAUAAGACAAAUAUCUCUAAUGAAUCACAGGCUCAUGUCAUAUUUUUCUUUUUGUCGUUUUUAUUCUUUGAGUUAGGAAAGACAAAUUGUGAGCAGCUCACUAUCAAACUUACUGACCAUUAAAGAAAUAUACUGAACUUAUUUUCUUGCAGAAGAGAAAAUAAUACCUUUUUUUUUUUCUUUUGAGAAAAAAAAAGUUCUUGAGAUUCAGUAUUUGCUGUGAGGAGUCUGUCAGUGUAAAGCUCCAGUCCUGCUGGAAGCCAUUGAAAACAACAUUUUGUUUGUUUGUUUUGCCUGCAAUCAAUUUCACUUUAGUGCGGAGAAGUAAAACUUAACUUUAGCUUCUCUUUUCUAUUCUUUUUUUUUUUUUUUACAUUGUAACAAGUAUGGCGGCACAAAAUAUCAUAAAUAUAUUUUUCUUCAAAUUCAACGUGCACACGUACAAUUGAUGGAAAGACUGAGGUUUUUUAAGUAAAUGUAAAAUGUGACAUUUAGCAAAGCAGAAACUGAAACGUUGAAUUCCUGCUUCCUGGACAGGCAGUAAUGGAGGAAAUGAUGUCAUGACCUGCUCACUUCCUGAAUGAACUGCUUCAGUGACCUUUUGGUAAAGAGACAGUUUUUUUUUAAUCUAAAUAUGUCAGGUUAUGCAGAUUAAAUGUUUAAUUUGUAUCCCACCUAUAAAGCAUAUGUGCAUAUGGAGGUGCAAGAGUGAAGUAACUAUAUGUUUAAAUGUGCUUUUUUCUCUAAUUUAUCACUAUGGAUUUUAAUUCUAUUUUUUUAAAGCAAUUUACAGAGUCCCUCCUAUGAAAAUCCUGUUCUUGUGGCAUUUUUUCUGACGAUGGUGGAAAAAUAUGAGUUUAAAAUAGCAUUUCUGAUUAUUUCAGGACAGCACCUCCAGGGCUCUCUUUUAUUUGGCUUCUCUUCUGUUAUAAUCUCUUCUCCUUGAUUGGUGUUUGUUUGCUGGGUUUUAGGGUGUGAGGGACUGUAAGACAGUGGGAGAGCGUGUAAACAAAGGGAUGAUGGGAAAUGGGGGCAGGCUUACUCAGUGCCAACGGUCCCUCCCACAACUCAAAGGUAACCAGAGUUUAUUUAUGUUCAUAUUUUUAGCCAGAACCGCUCUUCUUUUGGAGUCGAGACAAUAGAUUCAUUUGGAAAUGUUUGCAUCCACUGCAUCCAUGUGUGAAGCAUGUCUUUACACGGAUACUUGACUGGAAAAGCUUUUAUUAAUCCUCUACUGUGCACUUUACUCUGAAUAAUAGCGUGAACGGCUGAUUAAGCUUCCAGGAUCUUCAGAUGACUGACUUUGAGUGGAUGUGCAAUCAGACAGAUUGUUUAAAACAAUGUCAGCUGUUCUUCAGGUGUAGUGAGAACCGUGUUAUCUUUACUAGCUUGUGUUAGCAAACCAACUGUCUCUAAUGAGCCACAGACUCAAAGCCCAGGCACAGUUCAUCAGGGUUACGGCAGUUUUCAGGAUAUUUAUGCAUGAAUGAAUACAGUGGAGAUUUAGAACACAAAAAUGAAGCCCUGCUGGCUCACCACUGUUUUAACUAGUACUCCUUCAGUGAGCAAAAAUGUACGCCAACAUUUCCAAGCAAAACACAGCUUGUGAAAGUCUAUCAAUCACAAGCUAAAGAAAAGCAAUAAUUAAAGCGCCCAGAAGCCUGACCUUACCAAACACCAGUCUCUGUAAAAAUGUCAAAGUGCUCAACGAACAAGUGAUGUUUCACCACCCAAACAGGCUUUCAAGCAGAGCUACAGUAAACCUUAAAAAAAAACAAAAAAUAAUUAUUCAUACAAAAAGGGAUUCUUUGGAUUUAUAAUCAACCAACUGGUACUUUUUAUGAAUUUCUUGCUCCCGUUUGCAGCUGCUAAAAAGAGUCUGCAUUCAGAUGGCCGUGCAUGACGUCUCUGUUACUUAGCGUGCCCUUCUCGUGGCCUGGCUAAAAAAAGUGUGCUGCAGUAGGCUGUUCUCACUCCGCCGCUGCCAGGAGCAGCACACGGGCCGCCAACGUCAACAGACAGAGCUUCAUGCAGGGGAAGGAGGGGAGAGCCAAGGUGAGGCAGAGGAGAAACCCUUCCACAACGGAGAAAAGCUGAAAAACAACCAAGGAAGGAAUCGAUGGGAACAAAACAGUGUCACCAUCCACCAGCGGCCUCUGAGUUACAGCGGCCAACCUACGCAUUUGUCCUUACCAUCUCAAGUCAGAUGGAUUCUUCUUCAGCUGAACCCAUGUGCUCACAGGAUGUCCUCAGUUGCCAGAAGAUGUGGCCUCGCCGCCGCGUGCCCUCAUCCUCCUCAUCUGAGCUUUUAAUUAAACUGUUAACCUGUCACUCCUAAGUCUGAGUCUAACCGGGCUGUCCAGCAAAACAACAGGACAAAGUUGUGAGGACAAACACUGGAAAACAAUUACGAUUUUAAAUGUUCCUGGCCAUUUAUUUGAUGUUAGAGCCACAUUUUUCAAAUUAAGCAUUAUUCAAAACAAUAAACUUGCCUUGGAGUUCAUGGUUCUAUUGUAAACCAUUUUAAAAGCAAGAAAUAUGAUUGAAUAUGGGUCUUCUUCUCCACUGUACAGUCCAUCUCAAAGUGUUCUUCAUUUGGUCACAUUCUUUAUAGUAAAAAGCUGAAUGCCAUUUUAACCCAUGUAUUCUAAAUGCAAAUUUGGUUUGGCUGUAAACCGGCCAAAAGAAUCCGGUCCUAAAUCACUUUUAAAAUGAGAUUUGAAGUGAAGCGUUGAGCUUCCAUCAAAGCAUCCUAAUGGCUCCCUGUGGUAGCAAUGUACAUGGCUGCUUCUUAAUGACAAUAAUACCAUGCUUAAUGAUGCACCAUCUUUAUGGCCUAGAACUCUUCAUCCAAGAUUCAUGCUUUCAUUAAAUGUGAGCUUUUUUUUAAUAUUGACUCCUAAGUAAAAUGCCAAUAUAAUGUAUACGAUAAUUACAAAGCGUGGGAUUGAGCAUCUCUCACUUAUUUAAAGUAAUUCAUUUUCUGUGUCUCCAGGCUUCAUAUCUUUGUAUCUAGGUGUGUGUUUGUGUGAACAAGUGUGGUGGUAAGACAAUAUCAGUGUAAAACAUGUUGUGUAAGUCUGGCUCUUACAAUGAAAUAAUGCAACAGAUAGGUUGGAACUGCAAUGAUGUGCGAGAGUGUGAGUGUGUACGGGAGUCAGAGCCUCUUUGGCCGCACUUAAGACACGAGCCCCACAGACAAAAGACCAUUUAUCGCUCCAUUCAGGGAAUUGUGUGGCCUCUUUUGGAGACACUGGGGCUGACACCGAGCUUGGCGGCACCGGGCGCAACAGUAGUCGCAUUAUUUGGUGUCAGCAGAGGAGGAAUGAGUCCAGACUUAGGCUCUGAAUGCCUAACGUGCACGCAAAAGAGGCUGCGUGAGUGUAGGACGUGUUUGUGACUAACAAGAGCGUGUAUUACAAACUUAGGGAAAACAAAGUAAGACGUUGCAGAGCGUUUGGCAGUCGUGGUUGCAAUAUUUCCUACCCCUCCAAGGAGCUGAAGGUGUUUAGAGUUAAGUUGUCAUGGUAACUGCAUAUUUCCCUUCUCAAGGUGAUCAGCUUGGUUCACAUGUCUUAGCGCUGCUUCACAAAAACUCAUUGUUAGAAUAAUGGUGUGCAGGCGAAGGCUCCCUCUCCGCUUGCAGAUUCUGUGAUUUCUGCCAACACACUCAAAAAAAAAAAAAA